ACCCCUAAUCGGGGUUGCGGACAGUGCCUGGUGGGUAGUUUGACUGGGGCGGUCUCCUCCCAAAGAGUAACGGAGGAGCACGAAGGUGGGCUAAUCACGGUUGGACAUCGUGAGGUUAGUGCAAUGGCAUAAGCCCGCUUGACUGCGAGAAUGACAAUUCGAGCAGGUGCGAAAGCAGGUCAUAGUGAUCCGGUGGUUCUGAAUGGAAGGGCCAUCGCUCAACGGAUAAAAGGUACUCCGGGGAUAACAGGCUGAUACCGCCCAAGAGUUCAUAUCGACGGCGGUGUUUGGCACCUCGAUGUCGGCUCAUCACAUCCUGGGGCUGAAGUCGGUCCCAAGGGUAUGGCUGUUCGCCAUUUAAAGUGGUACGCGAGCUGGGUUUAGAACGUCGUGAGACAG
rnacentral:rRNA from 1 species